rnacentral:rRNA from 1 species
CACCGGCGGCUCGAGUGGUGGCCACUUUUAUUGGGUCUAAAGCGUCCGUAGCCGGCUUGGCAAGUCCCCUGGGAAAUCUGGCGGCUUAACCGUCAGGCGUCCAGAGGAUACUGCCAGGCUUGGGACCGGGAGAGGUGAGAGGUACCUCGGGGGUAGGGGUGAAAUCUUGUGAUCCCUGAGGGACCACCAGUGGCGAAGGCGUCUCACUAGAACGGGUCCGACGGUCAGGGACGAAAGCUGGGGGCACGAACCGG